UACGGAGGGUGCAAGCGUUAUCCGGAUUCACUGGGUUUAAAGGGUGCGUAGGUGGGCUAGUAAGCCAGUGGUGAAAUCUCCGGGCUUAACCCGGAAACUGCCAUUGAUACUAUUAGUCUUGAAUACCAUGGAGGUGAGCGGAAUAUGUCAUGUAGCGGUGAAAUGCUUAGAUAUGACAUAGAACACCAAUUGCGAAGGCAGCUCGCUACGCGGUUAUUGACACUGAGGCACGAAAGCGUGGGGAUCAAACAGG
rnacentral:rRNA from 1 species